rnacentral:rRNA from 1 species
UACGGAGGGUGCAAGCGUUGUCCGGAUUUAUUGGGUUUAAAGGGUGCGUAGGCGGCGUAAUAAGUCAGUGGUGAAAGCCGGCAGCUCAACUGUCGAGGUGCCAUUGAAACUGUUAUGCUUGAGUACAGACGAGGUAGGCGGAAUUUAUGAUGUAGCGGUGAAAUGCAUAGAUAUCAUAAAGAACACCAAUAGCGAAGGCAGCUUACUAGGCUGUAACUGACGCUGAGGCACGAAAGCGUGGGGAGCGAACAGG